AAUACGUGUUAGGAGGAUGGCAUAUCACUCCAAGUUCUACUUGUUGAUGCAACUUUUAGUUCUUAUCAUUAUUGAUUUAGUGGAACAUAGUUAAUUUGUGUAUAAUAUGUUUUUCAUAGUAAUGCAUAAUAGUUGCUAACACUUUCUAGUCAACCUUUGUUAUAAAUAUUGGCUCAAGGGGCCAUGAGAAACAGUUGUCUAGCUACUUGGUUACAUAAAUUAACCAUACUUAGGAGACGAUAUUAUCUGAUAAUAUAUCACAUAAUAACUCAUGGGCUUUAGCAUUGCAAAUUAAAUAUAAAAGGGUUGCUUUUUUUUAUAGAAAAGCUAAUCAUUCGCUAUCAAGGAUUAAUUUAAUAAAUAAUGGCCAAGAAAGACCUACUUUUACCAUAAUGUGCCACUGAUUGGUGGCUAACUGCGUCACACACAGAGCUGCGAGUCCUGAAAAGCAAGAAACAGUAGAGAGGGAUAUAUUUAGUUUAAUACUCUUACCUUUCCAUAAGAAAUAGCUUUUUCAUCAAAAAGUUACGAAUUUAGAAAUUAUUGUAUCCUAUUGAUUUCUAAAUUGGCACAAACUCAUCAGUUUUUGAAGGAAAUGAUAAACAAAGAAGAUACACAUACCUUAUCAGAUUGUCUCUUCAACCUGCACUUCCCACUAAAGCUUAGUAAGGAUGUUCUCGGUUUAGACUCGAAACUUAUAAGCCCGCAUAUUUAUUGCGGUUUGUGUAGUUUGAUAAACAUUGUAUGUAGUUUGAUAAACAACGUGCCCUUCGAUUACAACAAGAGAAAACGACGAGUAUGAAGGUAGAACAACUCGUCUGCUAGAGGUCACACACACAGGGUCGUGUGCCUCUGAUCUUGUCAUUAGGGUUGGGAAAGAAGCCACAGUCGGCGGCAAUCGGUUGGAUUCCAGUCAACUAGGAAGAAACCCGGUGGGUUUAGGUUAAGUACGGGAGGGCAUCAUAUUAUGUAAUGUUUAAUUUGACUAAUU
rnacentral:lncRNA from 1 species